rfam:Danio rerio chromosome 4, GRCz11 reference primary assembly.
GACCCUGUGGCUUAGUUGGUCAAAGCGCCUGUCUAGUAAACAGGAGAUCCUGAGUUCAAAUCCCAGCAGUGCUU